AUUCUGCCCCACGGGGAAGGAUGAGAAGCUUCGACCAAGGUUCGACUCGAGCGAAGCGAGAGAACGUUGCCGCAGGCAAUGGCCCGAAGGGCGAGGCGCUUUAGCGCCGAGUAAUCCUUCCCCCACCACUG
rnacentral:sRNA from 1 species